rnacentral:rRNA from 1 species
UACGUAGGGUGCGAGCGUUAAUCGGAAUUACUGGGCGUAAAGCGUGCGCAGGCGGUUCGUUAUGUCCGUUGUGAAAGCCCCGGGCUCAACCUGGGGAUGGCAAUGGAAACUGGCGGGCUAGAGUGUGGCAGAGGGGGGUGGAAUUCCGCGUGUAGCAGUGAAAUGCGUAGAGAUGCGGAGGAACACCGAUGGCGAAGGCAGCCCCCUGGGCUAGCACUGACGCUCAGGCACGAAAGCGUGGGGAGCAAACAGG